UUUUAUCAAUACACACACAUAUGUUUAAAAUAAAUACAACUUGCAUAUUUAAAAAUUUAAAAAUAUAUAUACACACAUGUUUUUAAAUUUAAAUAUUUAAAUAAAUAAAACCG
rnacentral:rRNA from 1 species